rnacentral:rRNA from 1 species
UACGGGGGGAGCAAGCGUUGUUCGGAUUUACUGGGCGUAAAGGGCGCGUAGGCGGUCAGCACAAGUCAGUUGUGAAAUCUCCGAGCUUAACUCGGAAAGGUCAACUGAUACUGUGCGACUAGAGUGCGGAAGGGGCAACUGGAAUUCUUGGUGUAGCGGUGAAAUGCGUAGAUAUCAAGAGGAACACCUGCGGCGAAGGCGGGUUGCUGGGCCGACACUGACGCUGAGGCGCGAAAGCCAGGGGAGCAAACGGG